CCCAACUCCACCAGUUCUGCGGCCAUGGUUGUGCUUAAGGGCAUCCCGAAGGUGCUGUCGCCGGAGCUGCUAUUCGCGCUUGCUCGGAUGGGUCACGGAGACGAGAUAGUUCUUGCAGAUGCAAACUUCCCAACUUCCUCCAUCUGCCAGUGUGGACCCGUAGAGAUCCGAGCAGAUGGCCUGGCCAUCCCACAGCUCCUGGAGGCUGUGCUGAAGCUGCUGCCCCUGGAUACCUAUGUGGAAAGCCCGGCUGCUGUGAUGGAGCUAGUGCCCAGCGACAAGGAGAGGGGCCUGCAGACCCCAAUAUGGAACCUCUAUGAAUCCCUUCUUCUCACAGCUGGCUGCAAGAAAGCUCUGAUGAAGAUAGAGAGAUUUGAAUUUUAUGAACGUGCAAAAAAAGCUUUUGCUGUGGUCGCAACCGGAUUCCAACAUAGACCGGACAUCAGCAGCUCUUCAGGAAUCCCCCAGGCUUCCGAGGCCAACUUGGGACUGCUGGGACAUCCAGCCUUAUGGAUUGAAAAAUCACUGGAUUCUCAGCCUCCAAUGUGAGACAGUCAUUGUUGGAUGACCAGGAUCACAUACUCUAAGCCAAUGCUAUACAGAGAAUUCAAGGACAACCAAGGCUGCAUGAGAUACUGUCUCAAGAAGGAGAAGGGAAAGAGGAACAGGAAGAUGAAGAGGAAAAGAAGGCAGAUGUGGAUAAGUAGUUAAUUCAAAAGGGGGGUAAUUUGGGUAGGCCCUAAUUCGGUCUGAUUGGUGUCCUGUUUAGAAUAAAUUAGAAGACUCUGGAAGAGACACUGUCUACACAAGUCUAGGAACACGAUAUCAGCAGGACCUGCACCAGCACCUGGAUCUUGGAGCUUUGGCCUCCAGAAUGCCUCGUUCUCGGGCUCCAGCCCCUUGCCAGCCCCGCCUGGUGGCGAAGCGUCUGGAACUGCAUCCUCCGCAUCCAUACCGCAUCCCUGUCCUCCCGC